ACCUACAAAUUAUAUCACUAUCUC
rnacentral:siRNA from 1 species